rnacentral:rRNA from 1 species
CCUACGGGUGGCAGCAGUGAGGAAUAUUGGUCAAUGGACGAGAGUCUGAACCAGCCAAGUAGCGUGAAGGAUGACUGCCCUAUGGGUUGUAAACUUCUUUUAUAUGGGAAUAAAACGUUCCACGUGUGGGAUUUUGUAUGUACCAUAUGAAUAAGGAUCGGCUAACUCCUUGCCAGCAGCCGCGGUAAUACGGAGGAUCCGAGCGUUAUCCGGAUUUAUUGGGUUUAAAGGGAGCGUAGGGGGAUUGUUAAGUCAGUUGUGAAAGUUUGCGGCUCAACCGUAAAAUUGCAGUUGAAACUGGCAGUCUUGAGUACAGUAGAGGUGGGCGGAAUUCGUGGUGUAGCGGUGAAAUGCUUAGAUAUCACGAAGAACUCCGAUUGCGAAGGCAGUUCACUGGACUGCAACUGACACUGAGGCUCGAAAGUGUGGGUAUCAAACAGGAUUAGAUACCCGUGUAGUC